UUUAUCCAGAGCGGCGGAGGGACUGGCCCUAUGAAGCCCGGCAACCGAUAACACGGUGCUAAUUCCUGCGGAAACUAUUCCGAGAGAUAAA
rnacentral:ncRNA from 2 species